rnacentral:rRNA from 1 species
CCUACGGGAGGCAGCAGUGAGGAAUAUUGGUCAAUGGGCGGAAGCCUGAACCAGCCAAGUCGCGUGAGGGAUUAAGGCCCUGCGGGUCGUAAACCUCUUUUGCCGGGGAGCAGAGGUCCGGACGUGUCCGGGCCGGGAGAGUACCCGGAGAAAAAGCAUCGGCUAACUCCGUGCCAGCAGCCGCGGUAAUACGGAGGUGGCAAGCGUUAUCCGGAAUGACUGGGCGUAAAGGGUGCGUAGGUGGUUUAGUAAGUUGGCGGUGUAAUUCCGGGGCUCAACCUCGGCGCUACCGCCAAAACUAUUAGACUAGAGUGCAGGAGGGGUAAGUGGAAUUCCUAGUGUAGCGGUGAAAUGCUUAGAUAUGACGAAGAACCCCGAUUGCGAAGGCAGCUUGCUGCAGCGGAACUGACGCUGAUGCUCGAAAGCGCGGGUAUCGAACAGGAUUAGAUACCCAGUC